rnacentral:rRNA from 1 species
AACGAACGCUGGCGGCAGGCCUAACACAUGCAAGUCGAACGCCCCGCAAGGGGAGUGGCGCACGGGUGAGUAACGCGUGGGAAUAUGCCCUUCGGUUCGGAAUAACACAGGGAAACUUGUGCUAAUACCGGAUACGAUCUACGGAUGAAAGAUUUAUCGCCGAGGGAGUAGCCCGCGUAGGAUUAGCUAGUUGGUGAGGUAAUGGCUCACCAAGGCGACGAUCCUUAGCUGGUCUGAGAGGAUGAUCAGCCACACUGGGACUGAGACACGGCCCAGACUCCUACGGGGGGCAGCAGUUGGGAAUAUUGGACAAUGGGCGAAAGCCAGAUCCAACCAUGCCGCGUGAGUGAUGAAGGCAUAAGGGUUGUAAAGCUCUUUCGCCAGGGAAGAUAAUGACGGUACCUGGAAAAGAAGCCUCGGCUAACUCCGUGCCAGCAGCCGCCGUAA